UCUAGUAAUUAGUUAGAACUUCCAAGUAAAAGGAGAGGAAAGGGAGAGGGACAGUUAUCGAAGAAUUUGGCAGAAGUUUGGGUGGCCUGCAUUCUCUCUUCAUAGUGAAGAAGAAGCAGCCGGUUCAGGGAUCAAAUGCUUCAAUCCGGUCCACAACGGAAAGGAUGAAAUCACAUUCUUUGAUUUCUUAAAUGAAAAAACAAGAAGGCUAUAUACGCACCAUACUGUUUUGAUGACUAACCACAACAAAAUCUUCUCCUUCAACUGACGGUGAGCUCCUUCUCCAAAUCUUCCUUCCUUGGUACGACUCUCACAAACAUUCAUGAUUUUUAGAGAACCCUUUAAAAUUGGGAGAACAUUUUCUAGAGAAAAUCUAUGCAGAAUGGUUGUCUCAGAUUGUGCAGAUAUUUCGUGUACAAAGGGCUCCCUGGGCACCUUUUUUAUGAAUAACUCUAUUGGCUUACUCCUAACCUUAUUAGGAUAACUCUUUAUGUAUCACAAAUAUCUCAUAUUAAAAGAUGUUUAUAAUUAUUAUUAAUUUGAUUGACUAUGAAGAAAAUAUUUUAUUUAUAAAAAA